rnacentral:rRNA from 1 species
UUUUGGACAAUGGGCGCAAGCCUGAUCCAGCCAUUCCGCGUGCAUGAAGAAGGCCUUCGGGUUGUAAAGCUCUUUUGCAAGGAAAGAAACGGUCCUGGUUAAUACCUAGGGGUAAUGACGGUACCGUAAUAAUAAGCACCGGCUAACUACGCGCCAGCAGCCGCGGUAAUACGUAGGGUGCAAGCGUUAAUCGGAAUUACUGGGCGUAAAGCGUGCGCAGGCGGUUUUGUAAGUCAGGUGUGAAAUCCCCAGGCUUAACCUGGGAAUGGCGUUUGAAACUGCAAAACUAGAAUAGGUCAGAGGGGGGUAGAAUUCCGCGUGUAGCAGUGAAAUGCGUAGAUAUUGGGAGGAACUAUCAAGGCGAAGGCAACCCCCUGGGCAUGAUAUUGACGCUCAUGCACGAAA